rnacentral:rRNA from 1 species
UACGUAGGGUGCAAGCGUUAAUCGGAAUUACUGGGCGUAAAGCGCACGUAGGCGGCCUGAUAAGUCGGGUGUGAAAGCCCUGGGCUCAACCCAGGAACGUGCACACGAAACUGUCAGGCUUGAAUAUGGAAGAGGGUCGCGGAAUUCCCGGUGUAGAGGUGAAAUUCGUAGAUAGUUCGGAAGAACACCAGUGCGAAGGCGGGUUGCUGGGCUGACAC